rnacentral:rRNA from 1 species
GUCUGCAGCCAUGCCACCUUGAACAAGCCCCACUCCGUCUGAUCUCGGAAGCUAAGCAGGGGCGGACCUGGUUAGUACUUGGAUGGGAGACUGCCUAGGAAGAUCAGGUGCUAUAGGCA